CGGACGGGUGAGUAAUGUAUGGGGAUCUGCCUGAUGGCGGGGGGUAACUACUGGAAACGGUAGCUAAUACCGCAUAACGUCGCAAGACCAAAGCGGGGGACCUCCGGGCCUCGCGCCAUCAGAUGAACCCAUAUGGGAUUAGCUAGUAGGUGGGGUAACGGCUCACCUAGGCGACGAUCCCUAGCUGGUCUGAGAGGAUGACCAGCCACACUGGAACUGAGACACGGUCCAG
rnacentral:rRNA from 1 species